rnacentral:tRNA from 1 species
AGGCAUGUAGUUUAAUGGGAAAAACGACUUUUUUCUACCUUUUUAGUUAAAGUGGUUCGAUUCCACUCAUGCCUA